rnacentral:rRNA from 1 species
UAAUCCACACGACUCUCGGCAACGGAUAUCUCGGCUCUCGCAUCGAUGAAGAACGUAGCGAAAUGCGAUACCUGGUGUGAAUUGCAGAAUCCCGCGAACCAUUGAGUCUUUGAACGCAAGUUGUGCCCGAGGCCACUCGGCCGAGGGCACGCCUGCCUGGGCGUCACGCCAAAACACGCUCCCAACCACCCAUAUCAGGAAUCGGGAUGCGGCAUCUGGUCCCUCGUCUCGCAACGGGCAGUGGACCGAAGAUCGGGCUGCCGGUGUACCAUGCUAGACACAGCGCAUGGUGGGCGUCCUCGCUUUAUCAACGCAGUGCAUCUGAUGUGCAGCCGUCAUUAUGGCCUUAGAACGACCCAGCAAACGAAGUGCACGUCGCUUCGACCGCGACCCCAGGUCAGGCGGGACUACCCACUGAGUUUAAGCAUAUAAAUAAGCGGAGGAGAAGAAACUUACAAGGAUUCCCCUAGUAACGGCGAGUGAACCGGGAGCAGCCCAGCUUGAGAAUCGGGCGGCUGUGCCGUCCGAAUUGUAGUCUGGAGAGGCGCCCUCAGCGACGGACCGGGCCCAAGUCCCCUGGAAAGGGGCGCCUGGGAGGGUGAGAGCCCCGUCUGGCCCAGACCCUGUCGCCCCACGAGGCACCGUCAACGAGUAAGGUUGUUUUGGAAUGUAGCCCAAAUCGGGCGGUAGACUCCGUCCAAGGCUAAAUACAGGCGAGAGACCGAUAGCGAACAAGUACUGCGAGGGAAAAAUGAAAAGGAGUUUGAAAAGAGAGUCAAAGAGUGCUUGAAAUUGCCGGGAGGGAAGCGGAUGGGGUUAGCGAUGUGCCCCGGCCAUAUGCGGAACGGCUCUUGCUGGUCCGCCGCUCGGCUCGGGGUGUGGGCUAUUGUCGGCCGCGCCGGCGGCCAAAGCCCGGGGGCCCUAGGUGCCCCUGGUGGCCGUCGUCGGCAUGGCCGGUACCCGCACACCGAAAGGUGUGUCCCUCGGGGCCCUGCGCUGCAACGGCCUGUGGGCUCCCCAUCCGACCCAUCUUGAAACAGGGAACAAGGAGUCUGACAUGCGUGUGAGUCAAUGGGUUCUGAAACCUGGGAUGCGCAAGGAAGUUGACGAGCGGGAGGCCCUCACGGGCCACACCACUGGCCGACCCUGAUCUUCUGUGAAGGGUUCGAGUUGGAGCACGCCUGUCGGGACCCGAAAGAUGGUGAACUAUGCAUGAGCGGGGCGAAGCCAGAGGAAACUCUGGUGGAGGCUCGAAACGAUACUGACGUGCAAAUCGUUCGUCUGACUUGGGUAUAGGGGCGAAAGACUAAUCAAAACAUCUAGUAGCUGGUUCCCUCUGAAGUAUCCCUCAGGAUAGCUGGAGCCCAUUACGAGUUCUAUCAGGUAAAGCCAAUGAUUAGAGUCAUUGGGGACGCAAUGUCCUCGACCUAUUCUCAAACUUUAAAUAGGUAGGAUGGCGCGGCUGCUUCGAUGAGCCGUGCCAAGGAAUCGGGUGCUCCAAGUGGGCCAUUUUUGGUAAGCAGAACUGGCGAUGCGGGAUGAACCGGAAGCCGGGUUACGGUGCCCACCUGCGCGCUAACCUAGAACCCACAAAGGGUGUUUGUCGAUUAAGACAGCAGGACGAUGGUCAUGGAAGUCGAAAUCCGCUAAGGAGUGCGUAACAACUCAACUGCUGAAUCAACUAGCCCCGAAAAUGGAUGGCGCUGAAGCGCGCGACCCACACCCGGCCAUCUGGGAGAGCGCCAUGCCCCGAUGAGUAGGAGGGCGCGGCGGCCGCUGCAAAACCCGGGGCGUGAGCCCGGGCGGAGCGGCCGUCUGUGCAAAUCUUGGUGGUAGUAGCAAAUAUUCAAAUAAUAACUUUGAAGGCCGAAGAGGAGAAAGGUUCCAUGUGAACGGCACUUGCACAUGGGUAAGCCGAUCCUAAGGGACGGGGUAACCCCGGCAGAUAGCGCGAUCACGCGCAUCCCCCGAAAGGGAAUCGGAUUAAGAUUUCCUGAGCCGGGAUGUGGCGGUUGACGGCGACGUUAGGAAGUCCGAAGACGCCGGCGGGGGCCUCGGGAAGAGUUAUCUUUUCUGCUUAACGGCCUGCCAACCCUGGAAAAGGUUCAGCCGGAGGUAGGGUCCAGUGGCCGGAAGAGCACCGCACGUCGCGCGGUGUCCGGUGUGCCCCCGACGGCAUAUGAAAAUCCGGAGGACCGAGUACCAUUCACGCCCGGUCGUACUCAUAACCGCAUCAGGUCUCCAAGGUGAAGCCUCUGGCCAAUGCAACAAUGUAGGCAAGGGAAGUUGGCAAAACAGAUCUGUAACUUAGGGAAAACGAUUGGCUCUGAGGACUGGGCUCUGGGGUCCCGGCCCCGAACCCGUUGGCUGUCGGCGGAUUGCUCGAGUUGCUCACGCGGGGAGAGCGGGUCGCCGCGUGCCGGCCGGGGGACGGACCGGGAAUCGCCCCUUCGGGGGCUUUCGCCGAGCAUGAAACAGCCGACUCAGAACUGGUACGGAC